rnacentral:rRNA from 1 species
AGGGUUUGAUCAUGGCUCAGAUUGAACGCUGGCGGCAGGCCUAACACAUGCAAGUCGAGCGGUAACAGAAAGUAGCUUGCUACUUUGCUGACGAGCGGCGGACGGGUGAGUAAUGCUUGGGAACAUGCCUUGAGGUGGGGGACAACAGUUGGAAACGACUGCUAAUACCGCAUAAUGUCUACGGACCAAAGGGGGCUUCGGCUCUCGCCUUUAGAUUGGCCCAAGUGGGAUUAGCUAGUUGGUGAGGUAAUGGCUCACCAAGGCAACGAUCCCUAGCUGGUUUGAGAGGAUGAUCAGCCACACUGGAACUGAGACACGGUCCAGACUCCUACGGGAGGCAGCAGUGGGGAAUAUUGCACAAUGGGCGAAAGCCUGAUGCAGCCAUGCCGCGUGUGUGAAGAAGGCCUUCGGGUUGUAAAGCACUUUCAGUCAGGAGGAAAGGGUGUGAGUUAAUACCUCACAUCUGUGACGUUACUGACAGAAGAAGCACCGGCUAACUCCGUGCCAGCAGCCGCGGUAAUACGGAGGGUGCGAGCGUUAAUCGGAAUUACUGGGCGUAAAGCGUACGCAGGCGGUUUGUUAAGCGAGAUGUGAAAGCCCCGGGCUCAACCUGGGAACUGCAUUUCGAACUGGCAAACUAGAGUGUGAUAGAGGGUGGUAGAAUUUCAGGUGUAGCGGUGAAAUGCGUAGAGAUCUGAAGGAAUACCGAUGGCGAAGGCAGCCACCUGGGUCAACACUGACGCUCAUGUACGAAAGCGUGGGGAGCAAACGGGAUUAGAUACCCCGGUAGUCCACGCCGUAAACGAUGUCUACUAGAAGCUCGGAACCUCGGUUCUGUUUUUCAAAGCUAACGCAUUAAGUAGACCGCCUGGGGAGUACGGCCGCAAGGUUAAAACUCAAAUGAAUUGACGGGGGCCCGCACAAGCGGUGGAGCAUGUGUUUAAUUCGAU